UACGGGGGGAGCAAGCGUUGUUCGGAUUUACUGGGCGUAAAGGGCGCGUAGGCGGUCUGUCGCGUCUGCUGUGAAAUCCCGGGGCUCAACCCCGGGCUUGCAGUGGAUACGGGCAGACUAGAGUUCGGUAGGGGAGACUGGAAUUCCUGGUGUAGCGGUGAAAUGCGCAGAUAUCAGGAGGAACACCGGUGGCGAAGGCGGGUCUCUGGGCCGAUACUGACGCUGAGGAGCGAAAGCGUGGGGAGCGAACAGG
rnacentral:rRNA from 1 species